GACGAAGGGGGCUAGCGUUGUUCGGAAUUACUGGGCGUAAAGCGCGUGUAGGCGGUUAUCCAAGUCGGGUGUGAAAGCCUUGAGCUCAACUCAAGAAAUGCACUCGGUACUGGGUGACUAGAGGACCGGAGAGGAUGAGUGGAAUUCCCAGUGUAGUGGUGAAAUACGUAGAGGAUUGGGAAGAACACCAGUGGCGAAGGCGACUGACUGGACAUGUAUUGACGC
rnacentral:rRNA from 1 species